rnacentral:rRNA from 1 species
CCGGCACGGGUGAGUAACACGUAUCCAACCUGCCGUCUACUCUUGGCCAGCCUUCUGAAAGGAAGAUUAAUCCAGGAUGGCAUCAUGAGUUCACAUGUCCGCAUGAUUAAAGGUAUUUUCCGGUAGACGAUGGGGAUGCGUUCCAUUAGAUAGUAGGCGGGGUAACGGCCCACCUAGUCAACGAUGGAUAGGGGUUCUGAGAGGAAGUCCCCCACAUUGGAACUGAGACACGGUCCAA